CCUGCGGGCGUCGCUGAAGGUGCCAGAGCUCUUUGGUGACCCGGAAAUGAACAACUGCUCGGCGGCCGUUCGGCCGACCUGUCGGGGUCACCGGGCUCCAAUAUGGCGUGGAGGAGCUGCUCCGUCCUGCUCAGACUGACCGGAGAUGAAGGCUUACGGAGCUCCGUGAGGGGUGGCAGGUGGCCUCAGAGCUUCCAGCAGAGAUGCGGCUUCAGGAAAGCUGCACGGAAACCCGAGUCCAAGAAGGUGGAAGAGGAGUUAGGUCCCGCCCACAGUGAAUCCUCUGAAGCUGCGGCCCAGCGCCGGACCCCGGCUCCGCACUGGGACCAUCAAGCUCCGCCCAGUCCCCCACGCGCCUUCGGCCGGCUCGUCAGGCCGCUCGUCUUUACCAUCGGGUUUACAGGCUGCUCCUUCGGCUCGGCGGCCAUCUGGCAGUACGAGUCCCUCAAGUCUCGAGUGCAGAGCUACUUUGACGAGCUGCGAGCCGAUUGGCUGGAGAAGGUGCGACCUCAGAAACGAGGAGACAUCCGCAAAGAGAUCAACCAAUGGUGGAACAGCCUGAGUGAGGGCCAGAGGACGGUAACAGGGAUCAUUGCUGCUAACGCCAUCGUGUUCUGCUGCUGGAGAGUGCCGUCUCUGCAGCGCUUCAUGAUCAGAUACUUCACCGCCAACCCGGCCUCCAGGACUCUGUGCUCUCCCAUGAUUCUCUCCACCUUCAGUCACUUCUCAUUCUUCCACAUGGCGGCCAACAUGUACGUCCUCUGGAGCUUCUCCACCAGUGCCGUCUCCAUGCUGGGCCGAGAGCAGUUCAUGGCCGUGUAUCUGUCUGCAGGUGUUAUUUCUACAUUUGUCAGUUAUGUGUGCAAGAUGGCCACGGGGAGGUUCGGCCCGUCUCUCGGAGCGUCUGGCGCCAUCAUGACCGUCCUCGCUGCUGUUUGUACCAAAAUGCCUGAAGCCAAACUGGCCAUCAUUUUCCUCCCCAUGUUCACCUUCACCGCUGGCAACGCUCUCAAGGCCAUCGUUGCCAUGGAUACAGCAGGCCUGGUGCUUGGAUGGAGGUUUUUCGACCAUGCUGCUCAUUUAGGAGGAGCCAUGUUUGGAAUAGCCAUCCAGUGGGCCGGACUGCAGUCUUUUCCUGGUCGAUUCUGGUCCCUGGGACUUACGUUUGACAUCUCUGGAUUAGGUGGUUAAUAAGUAGAAGCGGUUCUGUAACCAGAGAGAGACGAGUGUGAAGGCGAAGCUGUCGAUUUCCUGUUUGUGUUCCCGAGUAAAGAAAAGAGCGAGACUGUAGACACGAGCUGUAGAAAUGAGUUUCCGCUGUGAGGCUGAGGAGGUCAGCCUGGAGCUGCUGGGCCCUCCUCACUGAUGGGAGCCCACUGAGGAGGUCCAGCGGGACCAGGACGCCUCCUCGCUGGUACGUUCUGUUCGGCCACGAGUUGAUCUGGAAGAACCGAGAACCUUUCGUCAAGCUUUGGCACGACUUCAGAACUCGAAGGGGACCGGGAGGAGGAGGAGGAGGCGGAG